rnacentral:rRNA from 1 species
AAUGGGCGCAAGCCUGAUCCAGCAAUGCCGCGUGCAGGAUGAAGGCCUUCGGGUUGUAAACUGCUUUUGUACGGAACGAAAAGCCCUGGGUUAAUACCCUGGGGUCAUGACGGUACCGUAAGAAUAAGCACCGGCUAACUACGUGCCAGCAGCCGCGGUAAUACGUAGGGUGCGAGCGUUAAUCGGAAUUACUGGGCGUAAAGCGUGCGCAGGCGGUUUUGUAAGACAGAGGUGAAAUCCCCGGGCUCAACCUGGGAACUGCCUUUGUGACUGCAAGGCUAGAGUACGGCAGAGGGGGAUGGAAUUCCGCGUGUAGCAGUGAAAUGCGUAGAUAUGCGGAGGAACACCGAUGGCGAAGGCAAUCCCCUGGGCCUGUACUGACGCUCAUGCACGAAAGCGUGGGGAGCAAACAGGAUUAGAUACCCUGGUAGUCCACGCCCUAAACGAUGUCAACUGGUUGUUGGGUCUUAACUGACUCAGUAACGAAGCUAACGCAUGAAGUUGACCGCCUGGG